AUUUUGGUGCCAUUUUGGGACAAUCUGGGGCUGUUUUGGGAUGAUUUGGUGCCAUUUGUUGCCAUUUUGGGGCCAUAUAUAGGGCCAUUUUGGUGCCAUUUUGGGGUGAUUUGUGGUGGUUUGGGGCUGUUUUGGGGCCAUUUGUUGCUGUUUUGGGGGCAUUUGAGGCCAUUUGUUGCGAUAUAGGGCCGUUUGGGGUCCAUUAGGGUAAUUUGGGGCCGUUUGGGGUCCAUUUGUUGCAAUUUUGGGCCGUUUGGGGGCCGUUUUGGGGCCAUUUGGGGUCCAUUUGUUGCAAUUUGGGGCCAUUUGGGGGCGAUUUGGGGCUGUUUGGGGCCGUUUGGGUCCAUUUGGGGCCAAUUUGUUGCAAUUUGGGGCCGUUUUGGGUCCAUUUGUUGUGAUUUGGGGCCGUUUGGGGCCAUUUUGGGUCCAUUUGUUGCAACUUGGGGCCAUUUGGGGUCCAUUUGUGGCGAUUUGGGGCUGUUUGGGGGCCAUUUGUGGUGAUUUGGGGCCAUUUUGGGGCCAUUUGGGUUCCAUUUGUGGCGAUUCGGGGCCGUUUGGGGUCUAUUUGGGGCCACUUGGGGUCUAUUUGGGGCCACUUGGGGUCUAUGUGGGGCCAUUUGGGGUCUCUUUGUGGCGAUGUGGGGCGGUUUUGGGGCCCACCUGGAGAUGCAGGCCCUGCACCCAGUGCCCCACAGGCCGGUACGCCCCGCUGCCGUUGCUCCACUGGAACUGGAAGAUGUCGUAGCGCCCCGGCGCGUCGCCGUUCUCGUUGAACAUCACCGGCGUGCCGGCGCUGCCUGCGCCAGUACGGACCGGUAUCAACCAGUACGGACCAGUGUAAACCAGUACGGACCGGUGUAAACCAGUACGGACCAGUAUAAACCAGUACGGACCGGUAUAAACCAGUACGGACCGGUAUCAACCAGUACGGACCGGUGUAAACCAGUACGGACCAGUGUAAACCAAUACGAACCGGUAUAAACCAGUAUGGAGCGGUAUAAACCAGUACGGACCAGUAUAAACCAGUACGGAGCGGUAUAAACCAGUACGGAGCGGUAUAAACCAGUACGGACCGGUGUAAACCAGUACGGACCAGUAUCAACCAGUACGGACCGGUGUAAACCAGUACGGAGCAGUAUCAACCAGUACGGACCAGUAUAAACCAGUACGGACCAGUAUCAACCAGUACGGACCGGUGUAAACCAGUACGGACCAGUAUCAACCAGUACGGACCGGUGUAAACCAGUACGGACCGGUAUAAACCAGUACAGACCGGUGUAAACCAGUAUGGACCAGUGUAAACCAGUACGGACCGGUGUAAACCAGUACGGACCAGUAUAAACCAGUAUGGAUCGGUAUAAACCAGUACGGACCAGUGUAAACCAGUACGGACCAGUAUAAACCAGUACAGACCGGUGUAAACCAGUACGGACCGGUGUAAACCAGUACGGACCAGUAUAAACCAGUACGGACCAGUGUAAACCAGUACAGACCGGUGUAAACCAGUACGGACCAGUAUAAACCAGUACGGAGCGGUAUAAACCAAUACGAACCAGUAUAAACCAGUACGGACCAGUAUAAACCAGUACAGACCGGUAUAAACCAGUACGGACCGGUGUAAACCAGUAUGGACCAGUAUAAACCAGUACAGACCAGUGUAAACCAGUACAGACCGGUAUAAACCAGUACGGACCAGUGUAAACCAGUACAGACCAGUGUAAACCAGUACAGACCGGUAUAAACCA
ensembl:lncRNA